UAAGCAUAUCAAUAAGCGGAGGAAAAGAAACCAACAGGGAUUGCCUUAGUAACUGCGAGUGAAGCGGCAAAAGCUCAAAUUUGAAAUCUGGCGCCUUCGGCGUCCGAGUUGUAAUUUGGAGAGACAUCUUCGGAGUAGACGCCGUCCUAAGUUCCUUGGAACAGGACGUCACAGAGGGUGAGAAUCCCGUGCCUGGAUGGCUGUUCUACUUCAUGUGAAGUGUCUUCGACGAGUCGAGUUGUUUGGGAAUGCAGCUCAAAAUGGGAGGUAAAUUUCUUCUAAAGCUAAAUAUUGGCGAGAGACCGAUAGCGCACAAGUAGAGUGAUCGAAAGAUGAAAAGCACUUUGAAAAGAGAGUUAAAAAGUACGUGAAAUUGUUGAAAGGGAAGCGCUUGAGACCAGACUCGAUCAGUGGUGAUCAGCGGUGCUUCUGUACCGUGCACUUGCCAUUGAUUGGGCCAGCAUCGGUUUAGACGGCGGGAUAAAGACCUGAGGAAUGUGGCUCCCUCCGGGGAGUGUUAUAGCCUUGGGUGCAAUGCCGCCAGUCUGGACCGAGGACCGCGCUUCGGCUAGGAUGCUGGCGUAAUGGUCUUCAGCGACCCGUCUUGAAACACGGACCAAGGAGUCUAACAUCUAUGCGAGUGUUCGGGUGGAAAACCCUUGCGCGUAAUGAAAGUGAACGGAGGUGAGAACACUUCGGUGUGCAUCAUCGACCGAUCCUGAUGUCUUCGGAUGGAUUUGAGUAUGAGCAUAGCUGUUGGGACCCGAAAGAUGGUGAACUAUGCCUGAAUAGGGUGAAGCCAGAGGAAACUCUGGUGGAGGCUCGCAGCGGUUCUGACGUGCAAAUCGAUCGUCAAAUUUGGGUAUAGGGG
rnacentral:rRNA from 1 species